GGCUCGGGGAAACCUGGUGCAUUCUGUGAGAGAGGAAGGAAAUAAACAGUCUUAUAAAGAAUCUGAGACAACAGUAAGGAGCAGGCAAUCAGCACUGAUUAUCCUGUUGCAGUCACUUGAUGCUCUUUCAUUGUUGGAGAUGAAAAGGCUGGAGCUUGAAGAUUCAAAGAAACUGGAUCCUUAUAACUCUGAAGCUGAGAGUGCUCUUCGUGGAUGCAUUUCUGCAUA
rnacentral:misc_RNA from 1 species